UACGUAGGGGGCGAGCGUUAUUCGGAAUCACUGGGCGUAAAGGGCGCGUAGGCGGCCUGGUAAGUCAGGGGUGAAAUCCCACGGCUCAACCGUGGAAUUGCCUUUGAAACUGCUGGGCUUGGAUCCUGGAGAGGGUGGCGGAAUUCCUGGUGUAGGAGUGAAAUCCGUAGAUAUCAGGAGGAACACCGGUGGCGAAGGCGGCCACCUGGACAGGUAUCGACGCUGAGGCGCGAAAGUGUGGGGAGCAAACAGG
rnacentral:rRNA from 1 species